rnacentral:misc_RNA from 1 species
AACGCACAUUGCGCCUUCCGGUAUUCCGGGAGGCAUGCCUGUCUGAGCGUCAGUAUAAACCCUCAUCUUAAAUAGAAACAGGUUUUCUUUGAGAACUUGUUUGUAUAAGAUGGUCUUGAGCAACGAGAGUCGCGAGUCUAUUCUACGUCAGUAGUUAAAUAACCUCUUGGACUGUCUAGCUUAAAAUUCAUUGGUGCCGAUUGCCGGUCUUGUAAGUGUUAUAGGUAUAUCCAACUCGCUGCCAAGUCUGUGCAUAUUCUGGAUCCAUUAAAAACUGAUGUCUAUUGCAUUUGCUUUUUUACAUUCUUUCUAAGAUUGUAGUAUAGAGUGAUUUGCUAUUGAAUCAACUGAACUAUUUGACCUCAGAUCAGGUAGGGAUACCCGCUGAACUUAA